rnacentral:rRNA from 1 species
UACGUAGGGGGCAAGCGUUGUCCGGAUUUAUUGGGCGUAAAGAGCGUGUAGGCGGCCGUACAGGUCAGCUGUGAAAACUCGAGGCUCAACCUCGAGACGUCGGUUGAAACCGUACGGCUAGAGUCCGGAAGAGGAGAGUGGAAUUCCCGGUGUAGCGGUGAAAUGCGCAGAUAUCGGGAAGAACACCCGUGGCGAAGGCGGCUCUCUGGGCCGUAACUGACGCUGAGGAGCGAAAGCGUGGGGAGCGAACAGG